rnacentral:lncRNA from 1 species
CUCCAAGAAAAUCCAAAACUUCUCCCUAAUCUAUUUUUACAGACAUUAACUAAGACUAGAGAGAGAAAGUACAAAAGAAGAUGAAAAACUAAACUAUUUUAUCCUAAGCUAUAUUAUGAUGUAUAAUGUCUGAUAUAUUUCUCUACAGAGGCUUUCCUCUCUUCUUAUAUCAUUUCCCUCCUUUGCUAGGUCAAAAUCAAGCCUUCUCUGACUGGGCACCAGAGCUCGCGCUGCGGCGCGGGUAAUAGACCUAUGGGUGGCACUGCGGCACCACGUCAGCUUGGAUAACACCAGAGCUCGCGCUGCAGCAGCGAUUCUAUGAAGGAACCAUGGCGCUGCAACGCCAGGAUGACAUCAGCAAGACUUGAGGGUGGCACUGCGACGCGAGCACAAGGCUUGGCAUUGGCGCCGCGGCGCGGGUACAUGUCAAAUCCCCGUUUUUCCCUUGAAAGCAUGGGAAAGACCUAAUAAGCCCUGCAUUGCAUCGGUUUAAGCAUAAUAACACUAUAAUCAUAUAAAACUAUAUAAAAUCUACGAGAUCAUGCAACUAUUUAAGUCAAAAAGUAUCUGAUUCGUGGGUAUAAAUCCCACUAAUCAACAACUUCUUAGUAUAAAGAACUCUACAAUAAAAUAGAGUAGCUGAGAGAAAGAAUAAAACAUUGAUAAAAGCAGGAAGAAUAUUUCUAGCAGCAACCCAUCUCCCUGAUUACUUUUGGGCAAAUGUUGUCUAAACUACUUGCUACAUACAGAAUCGAUUCUUAAUUCACUAUACGCUCAAGAAUACACCCAACGAAUUAUAGAAGGGAAGAAAUCCAAACAUCAGUUACUUCCAUGUGUUUGGUUGUGCGUUCUAAAAAAAUUCAUAAUUUUUAAUGAGUCAUUUCAAUUUUGAGUUUGAACUUGUCUCAAAUUGACUUUCAAAAAUUUUAUAAUGAUCAUAGAGUAUAAUGAUAAUAAAAAGUAUGUUUUGUGGCAUAAAGAGAGUGAAUUUUAUGAAAAAGGGACGAGUUUAUCGAAUGGCAGAGGUCCUUACCAGAUGUGAUGUGCUUUAUGAUAUGAAGAUGUCAUAUUAGUAAAAUAAAUUUAUUGAACUGCUUGUAAUUAUAUAUAUUUUAAUGUCCUCGCUUUUAUUUUAUUCAAAAUUGAUCAUAACACAUUGUUACCCCAACAGGUGGUCUUAAGUAUUACAUUGUGUUAUAAGAAAUGUUAUUAAGGUUUAAAACUUGUAGUUUAACAAAUAAUUUCCAAUGGAAAGCGCUUUCAGAUUUUUCAUUAUCAAUGAGAGAGAGAGAGAGAUCAUUAUAGGCCACAGUUCUUUGGGACCUCAUCAUCUCUAGAUGUAAAUGGGGACUACUAAGGGUGAAAACAUAAUUGGUUUGGGUGGUUUGAAAAUGUACAGUCACAUCCUUCCAAGAAUCUAAUAUCCCACUUCGAUACAUUCUAGUAGAGGUCGAGUCAGAUGAACUUCUAGCCGACGAGUCCUUACAAAUUUCGGUAAUUGAUGAGUAACCUUGUCAUAAUGAAGUGGAAAAACUUCACUUGACAUAACUAUGGAAAGUAACGGCUUUCUAUUGCUGCAUUUCAAGGUCCGAACAUUGCCACCAACAUUGGUCCUCUGCUGGAGCUUGUUAAGGAAAAUGAACCAAAUUAUAAAACUAUAAGCCAUGAGGAUUUCUUAACAUUGGUCUUUAAUAGGAAACUGGAUAGUAAAAAGCAUCUUGGAUCAUUUGAUGAUUAAUAAGUGAGAAGAAAGUGGUAAUCUUGUUCACAACAUAAACUUGCUAUAUUCGAGUUAUUCAAAUGACAUGCAUGAGCAAGAAAUGCGAGCAAAUCUUGUUUCUUCCAAGUUCCAACAACAGUUGUCUCGAUAACUUUCAAAAUUAAUGUUAAAAGCAAUAACUUUUUUUUUUAUAAUUUUCAUCUCCAUAUUUAAUCUAGCUUUUCUACCACCUUUUUAACUACUACCAAACAAGAUCUUAAAAAUGAAAAAAAAAGGGUAAAAACUUUAAAAGGUUGUAAAUCAACCAGCAAAACCUCAGGAUGAAUUGUGAUUAUUAUUAUCAAAAGUAUAUAUUUGAAAAAACUUUUUACACUAAUUCUCAUGAAAAAUAUAUAAUGAUCGAGGGAGGCAUCAGUUCUCCUAGGUGAGUCUCAUUAAGGAAAAUUCAGACGCAAAUUACCCAUUUUGUUAAUAAGGAUUCAUCUUCUGCCCACUUUCUAAUUGAAAUAAAAUUUCAAACUCACCCUGCACCCCCCCUCACCCCGCACCCAACCNNNNNNNNNNNNNNNNNNNNNNNNNNNNNNNNNNNNNNNNNNNNNNNNNNNNNNNNNNNNNNNNNNNNNNNNNNNNNNNNNNNNNNNNNNNNNNNNNNNNACCCACCCCUGCCCAUUCUCUAUUUUGUUGUUUCUAUAAAUGUUUUAUACUUGCUGAGCAUUUUUAUUCACACUUGCUUAAAAUUAAAUAUUUUCUACUAAAACCGAGCAGGCCGAAGGUGUCGGAAAGAAAGAUAAAGGAAAAUGAAAAGUUCCCAAGCAGAGAAUUAUAUAUAAUAGUUUUAUAUACUAUGAAUGAUGUAAUGCUAAGAGUUAUGUAAUAUUUAUUAUUAUGAUGUUUUAAAGAUAUAAAGGUCUUAGAACUUAAGAUAGAUGGUGACAUUUUAUAAUGUGGUAAUUAUAAAAAUGUCUUUAAACUUAUAUAGAUAGAUGUGUGUGGAUGUUGUAGUACCAUGUAGUAUCAUAUCCAGGGUUUAAAGGAACACGAAUUUGGGGGUGUGACAAUUUUGUUUUUAUAUCUUAAUAUUUUGGAAUUUUUUCAUAUUUUAUUUAUUAUUUAAUUAUUUUUAAAGAUAAAUUUUUCAUUUUUAAAAAAUCUCUAAGUUAAUUUUUUGUACAUAUUUUUUAUGAUUAAGAUUUUAUUAUAUUUUUUUGAGUUAUGUGUUCAAAAUUUCUUAUUGAAAUAAAGAAAAUUUUGUGCUAAUAAUUAUGCAUUAAACAUGAACUUUUUUUUUACUUUCAAUGUAAAAUAUUUUGAGAUUUUUUCAUUCGAGUGGCCUACAACCAAUGCAAUAUAAUAUAAUAAAAUAUUUUUCUUAAAACUUAAACUCAAUUAUAUACUAUAUAAAUAUUUUAUUUUAUUUUAACAAUAAAUUGAGGAAUGGUGGUGAUGGACUCAUUAAAUACUAUAACAUACUAAUUUAUUGUAAGGGUGGUCCAAUAGAUUGAGACAUCUAAUAUACCAAGUUGACGGGAACCCUAAUGAUUAUUGGGGUAUUUUAUCACUAAUAAACAUGAUUCCACGAUAAUAUAUAUGUACAUGUAGAUUGGUUAGUUUUUGACCUCAUGUAGGUCAUUUUUGACUUAAAGUAGGAGAAGUAAUACUACAGGAACAAUAAUUUUUGUGAACAAGGAAAAAAAGGACAAAAAAAGAUGAACUAAAUUGUCUAUUUAGGUAAAGUAUAAAUAUAUAAUACUUAAAGCAUCUACACCCCAUGCAAAGUACGAAGUCUUAUUAUAAGGUUAUGAUAUUUUAAAUAUUUUAUUUUUUUAUAAAUAUAUUAUUUGAUUUAUUAAGUAAAAUGACUCUAGUAUGAAAAUACCUUUCUUAUAAAAUUAUGCUUACUCCGUCCUCAAAAGGAUGACUAAAGAUGCAAAGAUGAUCUUAUGAUUGUUUACUUGUAAACUACAUUACUAACUUUUAUUUUUGACUCGGUUAAACUGAACAAAAGGUUUUCCUAUACAAUAUAAUAUUAUUGAUAUUUUGAAUUUUGCUUUUACAAAUUCUUAUUGGAUAGAGAGUAAUUAUUAUUAUUUUUAUUUAAUAAUUAAAUCAUAUGGUCGAUUAGUAUAUAUAUAUAUAUAUAUAUAUAUAUAUAUAUAUAUAUAUAUAUAUAUAUAUAUUAUAUUUUAAUAAUAAUAAUAAUAUCUAAAUAAUUAUUAAAUCUUUCUUAUAGUCUAAACUAUAAUUAUAUUUAUAUAUUAAUGGUAGUACCAAAUUCAAGUUAGGUAGAUGAUUCUUAUGCUAAUUUUAUUUUCUUCUCAAACUAUAUUAUACUAGGUGAUAGCUCGUGUAAUGCACGAUCUAGUUUGAGUAAUAGAUUGUAUAAUUUGUUAAAAAAAAAUUGUGAUGAAUAUUUAUUUUUUUUAUAAUAAGUUAUAUGCAUGUAGAAUACAUAAAAAUCAAAAUUAUAGUCUAAACAUUUUUUAAAUAUAAUAAACUGAAACUAAAAAACAUCAUGACAUUCAAAAUGAAAACAAUAACGGCCAUUACUGCAACAUUGAGUUGCUAAACAAUCAAUAAAGAAGGUAAAGAACCUCAUAGAGUUCAACUGGAGGAGAAGAUUCUCAGAACUUCAAAGAAGAGGGGUCACCACUUUGUUCACAAAAUUUGAGUUGCUCUCAUCCCGCAGUUUUUACCAUCCAAAACCCCUAUUUUCACACACCAAAUAAAAAAAUCCAUCAUAAAAAAAGUUAAAUAGAAACACAUCUCACAAUUUAAAAAAAAAAAAAGCAACUUCAAGAAAACAUAAUAGAUACCCACAUAAAAAUUCUCUCAAAUCAAAACUAUUUUUAGUGAAGAAACUGACCUCAGUGUACAAAGAUGUCAAGGAAUUGAUAUAUUGUCUCUGCAACUGAUUCCUAGUACUAUUACACCGGAAGCAUAGUUGACACCCUGCAGAAUUACAGGUCCCCUAGUGGUUGGAGCCAAAUAUGGAGGAGCAAAAUCUUUAAAACCCGCUUGUUGUCCUGGUGUAACAAAAAAUAAUAAACAAACAUAUAAUGAUUUUUGUUGUUAUUGCUAAACAGACGUAUAACAGAUUUUGUCAGAGUUUGUCACAUAAACUCAACUACUCAAGUAUUGUUCUGCCAUUAGCAUAAAUUUUUUCUGCUGAACAAAUGCCCAACCAAAUAAAGACUGUCAAAACUUAAAGCAAAACACCAACAAUAACUCUUUUUAAUGAUAGAUUAGCCAUUACAAUCAAUGUGUACGAGAAAAAACAAUUAUGGGUAUGCUUUACCAAUACAUAAUCUACAUGAAAAAACUAAGUAAUGAAAAUUUUCCCCUUCCUCACAAUUGAAGGAUGAGGAAGAGGAGGAAUCUCUACAAUUUAACAGAGUUCAACAAAUGUUCUACUGAAGAUUUAAUAUUGUUAAAUGAAAAAUCAAAGUUUUAGAUACCAAGUAAAAAAUAUUUUCAAACAUUGAUCAAAGACUUACUACUUCACAGACAUCUGUUAAAUAUAUUAUUAAAUAUAUCACAUAAAAUUCUUCUAUAAAGGAAAUUAUAUUCGCACAUCAACAACAUUUCUUUAAUCCAUAGCAACCACCUUAAGCACAUCAUAAACUCUACAACAACUAUUUACGAAAAACAAAAUCCCACUAAACAACUUAAAUGCAACUAUUCGAAGCAAAGUGUAUAUAUAUAAGUGAGUUUAAAAAUGGAAAAUUAACCUUAGAUAGUUGAAGCUCAAAGUAGUGAAGUUGUGAACCAUUUUGAUCAAAUCGGAGUGGCAGGAAUCCAGCUUCGGAGCAGAACCGAGCCACAACAGGAAGAGACGGAGCCUCAGGGGAUAGCUCAGUAAUGGUAGCUACAAUGAACUCCUGCUGUUUCUAUUUUUGGUCUCGAGGAACCUCUCAAAUAUAAUAAAAUGAAACUAAAAAACUUCAUAUAAUUCAAAUUGAGAACAAUAACAAUCAUUACUGCAACAUAGAAUUGGUAAAAAAUCCAAAAAAAAGCUAAAGAACCCUAACAGAGUAAUGUUCAAGUGGAGGAGCAGAUUCUCAGAACUUCAAAGAAGAGGGUCACCACUUCGUUCAUAAAAUUUAGGUUGCUCUCGUACCGCAGUAUCUAAAGCUGCGAAAAUUCCAAUACCCCUAUUUUCACACCCAAAUAAAAAAAAUCCAUCAUAAAAAAAGUUAAAUAGAAACACAUCUCACAAUUUUGAAAAAAACAACUUUAAGAAAACAUCACAAAUACCCACAUAAAAAUUCUCUCAAAUCAGAACUAUUUUUAUUGAAAAAUUUGACCUUAUUAUGCAGAGAAAUUAAUGCCAUGGAAUGUAUGCAAAGAAAUUAACAGGUAAUAAUCAUCAAACAACACAAAUUGCAAUGAAAAAAGGAAAAAUCGCAAAAAAAUCAUAUCAAGCUCUUCAUUCAGGACUUCUAUCAAGCACUUACUGAGCAAAAGCUUCUCAGUUCUUCAGCUCAGCACAAUUACAAAUUAUGUGGUAUAUUAGAUUGAUUAAAUUGAUGAGAAGAAAAGUGGGUACCUUUACAAAAAUUGGGGAUUGGAGAAGUUUCUCAAUUCGAAACCAACGAUUUGGAUCAACUAGGUUUGAACGGAUAAACAAGAUCUCUCUUAACACCGCAAAUGAGUUGGUCGAUUGAAUAGAGAGUCGGCAUGAGGGAGGAAUAUAGAUUUGAGAGAACUAAAGGGAGGAGAAGGAACCUGAAGAGGAUGGACAGACGGAUUCAACGAAUUCGAAAGACAAAACUUUAAAGCUAUCGAUUGGGAAAGCCAACCGAGAAAAAUGAAUCGUUUAAUUGACAUUGAACCAAACUCGGUAAAUAACUCACAAAAUUGAACGAAGUUGACUCAAAUUAAUUAAGAGUGGAUUCUAAAUUGGGAU